ACUGUGUACGUCCCCCCCCCCCCCCCCCCCUUUGAGACACCAUUGAAGGGCCAGUGGUUACGCAGGCAGGCUGGAUAUUACGACACAAUUGGCAUGCAUUGGGUGAUGCAGGCAGACUGCUUAGUGUGCACCACUCGUCGUUUAGUCUAUUGAGGUGCUACAAGUGUUGUGUCAGUCUAUUUCCUCUCCGAAAAUAAAAUGUUGGGCUCUACA